AUUGAACGCUGGCGGCAGGCUUAACACAUGCAAGUCGAGCGAGAGGCGGACGGGUGAGUAAUGUCUGGGAAACUGCCUGGGGGAGGGGGAUAACUACUGGAAACGGUAGCUGAUACCGCAUACCAUCAGAUGUGCCCCGAUGGGAUUAGCUAGUAGGGGGGGUAAUGGCUCACCUGGGCGACGAUCCCUAGCUGGUCUGAGAGGAUGACCAGCCACACUGGAACUGAGACACGGUCCAGACUCCUACGGGAGGCAGCAGUGGGGAAUAUUGGACAAUGGGCGAAAGCCUGAUGCAGCCAUGCCGCGUGUGUGAAGAAGGUCUUCGGGUUGUAAAGCACUUUCAGCGAGGAGGCGUUACCCGCAGAAGAAGCACCGGCUAACUCCGUGCCAGCAGCCGCGGUAAUAC
rnacentral:rRNA from 1 species